UUUAUUUAAAUUUUCGUUUAUAAACCAAAACUAUAUUCAAUUUUAAUUUGUAAUUAUAUUUUAUGAUAAUUUAAAUUAAAACUAACUAAUGUUUGAAAGUAAAUUUAAAAAUAUUCUAAGAAGAUUUUAAAAAGAUUUUGUUAGAACAUUUUAAAUAUAUUUAUUUGUAUUUCAAAUAAAAAAGAUAAAUAUAUUAAAAAAUAUAAUAAUGAUCUUAUGUAAAAUAAGAUAUUUUCUAAGAAUGGUCCAAAUUUAAAAAAUCACACAUGAAAAGAAGUCAUGACUUCUGUUUUAAUAUAUAAGAUUGCUUCUUUUUUUUUGUCACACAUACUUCAUUAAUAUAGAAUCUGGUCUCAUAUCCAAAGUCAGCCUAUGAAUGGAUCCAUAAUAAAAAAAAGAAGACAGAAAUUGCUUAGCCAACGAAUCGGCUUCAGCGUUCAUCAAACGAGAAAAGUGAGAAAAAGAUAUUUCGACGAAAAUAGAGGAGAUUUGCUUGAUAUCUCUGACGAUACUGAAAAUUUUCUUGAUUUGCAUGUCAUUCCUUAUAGCUCAGAUGUGCAUUGUAUUGUCAAAGAAUAAUCAGAGCUUCGGAAGCCCUAGUUUCACUGCAGAGAGAAGACCUGAUCGAAGAGCAAUUGCCUCCGCGAUGAGAGGGGAAUUAACGAAUCCAUGUGUUGCAGCCCCUUGACUGAUGCAGGAUCUAGCCGAAUCUGUUAGAAUCCAUGUCACUCUAUCUCUUUUUGACCGUUUAUCCCAGGCUGCGUCUGAUCUACAAGUCGUAACCGUAAGAUCGUCAAUCGAAUUUUGCAGGUUCCUUUCCUAAUGAGGUAAAUUUCAUGUCUUCGUUUGAACUGACCCCUUUGCUGAGGUCCAUUCUCUUGCCAAUCUUACCCCUUUCGUAUCUGCAAGUGAGAAAGUUUUGCUUUCAAAAAUAAGUAGAUUCCGAGCAAUUCAAAGUGCCCAACAGAUCAAUGGGAGUAUUGUAUUCGUGAUUCCUGUUGGUGGGAGACAUAUCGCUUGUUUGAACCAUUGCUUCCUUGAAACUCUUCUCCGUAGCGAGGUGAACUACUUGAUUGAGGGGAACAUGAAUUCAAACUUCUUUCGCAAAGGGGCAUUGAAAGAAGGUUCUCUCCUAAAGGCAUUGUCCUCUGUAUGAUAGAUCAAAGAAAAAUUUUCUUUUUUAGUGAACAAGCUUCUAACCAUAUAUUUUUAUGCAGUUGAAUACUUCUAUGUCAGGUGUAUUUUCGGUCCUUGUUAGCUAACCAAAUCGCCUAAAACAACGUUUCAAUAACAGGACUUACUCUUUUACAGUGUGCGGCCUAAAAGUGUCUCAUCAUAAAUACUUUGCUAAUUUCAUAAUUCUUUUUUGUUUCAUACCAAUUCACUCUAUUUACUUUGAAUACCAUAUAUAUGAAUUUAAUUGAUCUGAUUACUUUAAUUGUUUUUAUUUGGUUCAAUGUAAAAUGUAAAAUCUUUUCUUUUUUAUUACUUCAAUAAUCCCUUGAAUUUUCUUGAUUAAUUUUUUAUAAUUUGAUUCGGAUUCAAGUUGCAAAAUUCAAUUUUACUAUGGUUUGGGUUUCCAAACUUUCUUUUAUCCCUAUUUUAUGGUAAGUUUCAGUUUCAAGGUAACAACGACAUGAAGCAAUUGGGUAAAAUAACACUUAUUAACACAGUUUGGCAGAUCUACGGUAUUCCUUCUUUUUAAUUUUUUUUAAUUGGAAAAAGAACAAGUCGUAGACUAUAGGUUGAGAAUCACGCAAGGAUUAUUGUCUCAAAAGCAAUCCUAACCAUAACUGAAAUUCACGAUUAGAAAAACAGAUUAGAAUUUAGAACAUUUCCAACCCAUUUCAUUUUUCAUAGUAAUUUUUAGAAACUAUUUAAAUGUAUCUCUAUUUUUUUUUUAAAUACUGUUUUCUUUAUAUUUCAAAACUAAUAGUAUUCUUAUUUUCUUAUUUUCGUUCUAUUUUUAGAUGAAUACUACUCCCUCCGUUUUUUAAUAUAAGUCAUUUUAAAGCUAUGCACAUAGAUUAAGAAAAUCAUAAAUUUUUUAUAUUUUCGAAACAAAAACAUCAUUAAUUAUUUACCUAACCACAAUUCAACCAAUAGAAAAAUAGAAGAUAUAUUAUCAUUGUUUAGACAAUAUUAAUUAUUAAUAAAUGUUAUAUAGAAAACCAAAAACGACAUAUAAUUUGGAACAAAAAAAUUUCUCUAGAACGACUUAUAUUGAAAAACGGAGGGAGUAUUUUUCUGCAAAAAAUAUAUUGGGAUAGAUCUUAUUUCUUUUAUAGAUUUUUUAAAAUAACAAGAUGUAUUUUACAUAGUCUUACGGCAAAUUAAAAAUAAUAUCACAUUUAGUGUUGAAAUAACGUUAAAUUUGGUGUUAUGAUAUUAAAUUUUAUUUUUUCAUCUCUAACAACAACACUAAAUUAUACAUCAAAACAACAUUAUAUAUUAUUAUUUUUAGUUUGAAUAGAUUUUUUUGUCAUCAGUUUUAAUAGAUUAAUUAUUUGUAAUUGACUAAUAAUAUUUUAUCAUAUUUAUAUUUUAUGCUUAUUUGAUAAAAUUUUGAUGUUUAUUAAUGUGAGAAUAAAAAUGUUAUUUUAAUGUUUAGUAAUGUAAAAAUACAAAUAGCAUGAUAUAUUUCUUUUUAGCUAUAUUUUUUGUAUUUGUUUGACAUCUAGCUAUAUUUUUUGUAAAAAAGUAAUAAUAUUAAUUUAUUUAUAGUUAAUAAAAAUAAUAUAUUAUUUAAAUAUCUGGUGUGAUUAAUAAUGUUACACAAACAAAACAUCAAAUUUGAUAAAAUUAUUAUUUGGUGUUUUAUUGGAAACAAAUAGAUCCAAUUUAAUGUUUUGGUGCCUAAACUGACAUCAUAUAAGGGACAAACUGGCUUUAGAAAAUUCCUAAACAACUUGAAAAAUGAACUUUUUCAAAAAAAAAAAAAACUUAAAAAAUGAAAAUUUAAAAAGGAGAAAAGAAACACAGUCUUUGAGACCAAGGCUUCCAAUGGUGUAGUGGGAGAAGCGAAAGUCUUCACUCGUACACUAGAAGAAAACAAACAUACACAGGGGUAAAAUGGUCCAAAAAAUAGAUUCGAGCACAAGAAAUCUAUUGCAUUGUGUGGAAAAUCUUGUGCGCGAUGGUAUUUGGCAGAGUGUAAGAGCAAUGAUACUGAAUUUCUGACCCAUCAGUAUUGUGCCACGGAAGCAGAAAGGUCGCGAUUGUCUGUGGUAACGUCCACUUCAUACGUGCACGUGGGUUUUAACGCGGUUUGUUAGACCGGUUUGACCGUUUGAAAGGCUUUAACGUCAAGAAGAGUUCUCUCACUUUUCUGGUACAGAUCCCGACUUUUAUAUUUUUAUCCCAUCAAAAUAUUCAUUUUUAUUUGCUAUAAAGGCAAAUCUACCAAAUAAUAUGUUUUUAAAGUUUAUUAGCAAACGCCUGCCCAUGUUAAAUAAGCAAAACCAUCAAUAGGAUACUUUUCAAUGGAAACAGAACUUGAUAGAAGCUGGAAGCCUGGAACAGGCCAAGUGGCUUUAUAAUUCGGUCCACCUCAGUGUUAAGACUUGGUUGAAUUAUGAUUCACUGCCACGCUAUUACCAAAUUCCUCCCUGCAACUUUGGGGUGGAUAGGCUGCAGUUUUGCACAUAGCCCACUAAUGGGCCACAAGUAAUCUUUUACUGGGCUGAGUUUAUUUGAUGACCUUCUGCCUACUUUUAGCCCAACAUUUGAUCGCUCUAUGAGAACUUCUCUAGCAUCAAAUAACAUCUGACUUUUGGUGCUCUAGUUAUGAGUCAUGACAAUCGCCAACCUAAUGAAUGAAUAUGUAUCUGUAUCAACUGUUGUUUUAAAGAAAGAGAAUGACCACUUUGCACUUCGGUGUGAGUUAUUGCAUAGAGGUAACAAAACAUCAUAAAUUUGUGUGAAUUGUUGGAAAUGUGUUUCAUAUAAUAAGUUUGGAAAAGCUUAAAUACCGACCAACAAGAGACAUUACAACACGAGACCAUGUAUGUUUCAGCUCUAAGAUAAGCAAGUGUGAUUCUCAAGUCGUAUGCAGCAAAAAACAACACUAAUCCAGUGAAGCAUACACAUCAUCAUCGUCUUCUGCCCCCUCGAUAAUCCUCCUCACCCUCUUUAUCCUUCAGUAAACCCAAGAAAG